rnacentral:lncRNA from 1 species
GCGACCGCCCCGCCGGGAGGCCCUGCACGCACGCGCCGCCGGCCGGGCCAGGUACCCAAGGGAGAAGCGACGCGGUUGGGGAGGUGGGGGGUCCUUAAAGAGACAGUCCCUCUGCGCUGGAGUGGAUGGGGCGGUGGCACCGACUCAGCUGGACUAUGCGGCGUUUCCAGUGCGCUCUCCAGUUCGUUUACUAUUAUUAUUAUUUGCAUGAUUGAAUUACUAUUAUUUGCAAAGAAUUGUACUGCCCUGAGGUUUACAAGGCUUUUGGCGCAUGUUGCCUUGUUAGCUCUUGAAUUGCUCGUCUGACCUAGCUCGUCUGAAGCAGGUUAUUAUCUCCCUGUUAAGCAGUAAUCCGAACUGUGGUUCCUAGCCUGCCAACAUUAAAGCUGCCCGGGGGGUGGGUGGGGGUGAAAAUGCAGAUUCGGGGCCCCGAAUGACCUCCAGCCAUUGUGAUUCAGUGGGGUCGGACUUGGGAAUCUGUAUUUUCACUAGCAUUCUGAAGUGAGUGAUCCUUCAGCAUACUAAAAGCACACAAGGGAUCUCAAGGUUGAGAAAACCGCAGUUCAGAGCCAGGACUGGCAGAGCCCGGGCUAGAAGCCUGCCACAUUCCUAACUGUAUUUCCCCUCUUGAGCCUUGCCUUCUGGGGCUAUUUUCUAGCACAUACUGAGUGAGCAGUUUGUGCACUGUAUGGCUACAUCGUUUAUUGGUGAUCUCUCAUGCAGUGUGUCCUCGGUUUAUGUGUUUACAGGGCCCGUGGCGCCUUGAUGGGGAGGACUCUGGCUUUUUAUCUUUGUACCCCAGGGCCUUGCACCGUGUCGGUCUCAGAGGUCCUCCAUAAGUGUUAAGGAACUCCUACUUGUAAAUCAGUGGUAGAGUCCACAUCUGGACCUACAGACUUGUGUCUUUGCUGCAGCUUGGGUCAGGCAGGCCUCUUCUCCCAGAUGCUCUUGGACAAAAGGAUACACCUUCUCAGGGCCUCUCACCAGGCCUAGUUCUAGUAGGCUUUCGGGAAAAGCACUGUGAAUUAACAGGGCAUGUCCUUGUGAAGUAGCUUGAACCAAAUAAACAGGAUGCUCCUCCCCAUGCACACAGACCCAUCCCCAAAAGAACCCUUCCCUUCUGGGCCCCACAGCAACCUGUGGCUCGUUGCUAUAAUGCCUUUUUCAUAAGUCUAUCCUUGUUCUGCCUUCUUUCUUCCUUGCCUUCUUGGGUCCAGACUCAUUAGAGAAGAUGGGCACCCCUCCCUUCCUGCUCAUUUGGGGCCACACUGCCCAGACCACUAGAAGAUUGAAAAGCACAAUUCAGAACUACCUGGGUCUGCCUCAGAGCACAACCAAAUCAGUGUGGGCAGCAGGAACAUGCCAGGCAGACCCAAGGCUCAGGGAGGGGACAAGGGGGAAGGAAGCAAGGGAAAGGGAUGGAGGAAGAAUUGGAGAAGAUGAAUGGAGGAAGGAGAAAAAGAAAGAAAGGAAAGGGAAGAAAGCAGGCAUGGAUGGUUCAGGUCAGAUCAACUGCCAAAGUAACUGAGCCCCUGGCUGUGCACUGAAGUCAGUUUGGCCAUUAAGAGGCUCAGUAACUUCAUACAAGAACUGCCACCUUAUAAAAUCCCUUGUGAGACCCUAUGCAGAUCUGUCCAUCACUACCCAAAAAUCCUCAGUCGGGCGCGGUAGCUCACGCCUGUAAUCCCAGCACUUUGGGAGGCUAAGGCAGGCAGAUCACGAAGUCAGGAGUUUGAGACCAGCCUGGACAACAUGGCGAAACCCCUUCUCUACUAAAAAUACAAAAAUUAGCCAGGCGUGGUGGCACAUGCCUGUAAUCCUAGCUAUUCAGGAGCCUGAGGCAGGAGAAUUGCUUGAACUCAGGAAGCAGAGGUUGCAGUGAGCCGAGAUCGUGCCAUUGCAUUCCAGCCUGGGUGACAGAGUGAGACUGUCUCAAAAAAAAAAAAUCCUCUCCCAGACCUUCAGGGUCCACAGAAUGAACUCAAAGUCAUCAGCAAGGACUGUAGUAUCCUGUGCUGUCCACAGUCCGGCCCAAAUGCUCUCCAUCCCUCCACACACCCCACUCCAGCCUCCCCAUACCACCUGCUGGUCUCUAACAAGCCAUUCCUGUCACAAACCAGGUGCCCAUGCUGUUUCCUCAAUCUUGAAGGCCUUCUCUACUUACCCUUCAGAAUCUUCCCAAGGCUGCUGCUUCUACUUUUCUGUGGCACUUUGGUUGAGCCCCAAAGUGCCACAGAAAAGUAUUAAAUUAAAAUUUUUAAACAUUUUAAAUAUUUAAUUAUUUAUUUAUUUAUUUUGACGGAGUCUUGCUCUGUCGCCCAGGCUGGAGUGCAGUGGCAUGAUCUGAGCUCACUGCAACCUCCGCCUCCCGGGUUCAGGGGAUUCUCCUGCCUCAGUCUCCCGAGUAGCUGGGUUACAGCUGGGAUUAGCUUCCAUUUCCUUCUGCUUUGAAUUGCCAGAAUCAGGGUCAAGUCUCCUCCCUUUAUAAAUGUCAGCUCACCAGCCUUUCCUGUCUUCUCAUCCCCUCCUAUCUGAAGUUCCACUGGCCUCUUCAGUACAGCUGACGAAAAGCCCCUGUUACAUUCUACGUAUAGGCCUUGCUCUUCUCACCCGCAAAAUGGAAUGGUACUUCCUGGCCUGGGGUGAAUAUUAUCUUUCUGCCAUUGAAAAGAUCUCACAAGAUGAAGGUUAAGAAUAAUUUAGACUUAGACAUUCUCAAGUGGGAGGGAUCAUAGAUUUUUUUAAAUAAAAUUCUUUAAAAUUUUUAAGAUUUUUUUUUAAUUUAACAGCUUUCUCACACCUGUAACCCCAGCAUUUUGGGAAGCUGAGGCAGGCUGAUCAUUUGAGGCCAGAAGUUCAAGACCAGCCUGGCCAACAUGGCAAAACCUCGUCUCUACUAAAAAUAUAAAAAUUAGCCUGGCGUGGUGGUGCACGCCUGUAAUCCCAGCUAUGUGGGAGGCUAGUCACAAGAAUUGCUUGAACCUGGGAGGCAGAGGCUGCAAUGAGCUGAGAUUGCGCCACUGCACUCCAGCCUGGGCGACAGAGUGAGACUGUGUCUUAAAUAAAUUAAUUAAUUAAUUAACAGCUUUAUUGAGAUAUUCACAUACCAGCAAUUCACAGUUUAAAUUUGUAUUUAUUUUGUAUAACUUUACAAAUUGUACAAAUUUGCACAUGUACAAUUGUACAUUUAGAGUGAACAAUUCAAUGGUUUUUAGUAUAUUUACAGAGUCGUACAAUAUUUUAGAACAUUUUCAUGACCCUAAAAAAAACUCCCAUACCCAUCAGCAGUCACUACCAUUUCCUCCCUCCCUACCACCUUCCCUGCCUCCCUCCCUAGGCAACCAACAAUCUACUUUCUGUCUCUAUAGAUUUGCCUAUUCUGAGCACUCUCUAUAAAUAGAAUCAUACAAAUAUGUGGCCUUUAUAAUUGAUUUUUUGUUUCUUCCACCUAACAAUCAAUUUUAAACCAGAGCUAAUUUUUUAUUUUCACUUUUCAAUUCAGACCCUGCCUUAUUCUAAAAGGACUUAAGAUGGCUCUUUGAGCUAAUAUUCCUGGGUCCUUCCAGAUUUCCAGCAUAAAUCUUUUUUUUUUUUUUUUUUUUGACGGAGUCUUGCUCUGUCGCCCAGGCUGGAGUGCAGUGGCAUGAUCUGAGCUCACUGCAACCUCCGCCUCCCAGGUUCAGGGGAUUCUCCUGUCUCAGUCUCCCGAGUAGCUGGGACUAUAGGUGCGUACCCCCACACCCAGCUAAUUUUUGUAUUUUUAGUAGAGACAGGGUUUCACCACGUUAGCCAGGCUGGUCUCAAACUCCUGACCUCAGUGAUCAGCCUGCUUCUGCCUCCCAAAGUGCUAGGAUUACAGGCGUGAGUCACCACACCUGGCCAAUUUCCAGCACAAAUCUUAAUAUUCUGCUCUAAAUCUAGGUGCUGGAAUAUGGCAUGGGGGUUAGAUUAGUCCCAGUUGGUGGUGAGUAGAAUAGCCAGCCAUCCCAGUUUGCCUGGGACUAAGGGGAUUCCUGGCACAUGGGACUUCCAGUGCCAAAAUUAGGACAGUCCUGGGCCAAUCAGGAUGAGGUAGUCACUCCUAUGAUAAGAGUCAGGAGGCACAGUAUUCCUUUCAUCUCCCAGGAAUAUAACAAGGAGUGUGUGCCUUUACUGCUUGCAGGGCAGGACAGAGGAGUUUGGCUCUCUGAAAGUGAGAGAAAAGGUUCAGAAUAAGUACAUGGAAUCUCAGUUGCUAUGGUUAUUACAUACAAUAGUAGUAAUGACAGCUACUAUUUACAAAGCACCUACUGUAUGUCAGGUGCUUGGUAGGGACUUGAUACGUGUAACCUCUAAUUUUGGCAACAGUCCUCCAAGUUAAUUAUCAUUAACACCAUUUUACAAGCAAGGCUUAGAGAGAUUUUUUUUUUUGACAUAUCAAAACCACAUAAGUAUGUAUGUUGCAAAAGCAGAAUUCAUUCUUGUUUGUCUGUUCCAAAGGUCACACUUUCCCAAAUAAACCAUGUGCUUCCUCCCACCCCUAAUAAAAAUAGCAAAUAAAGAUUGAAAUUGUCCUCAUAUAUCUCUUGCUUUUUAAAAAAGUGCUUUUUUGCAUACCAGCUAGUUUUUUACAACAUCCCCAUAAAACGAAGAGACAUUAUUGUCCCCAAUUUUACCUAUAAGGAAGUUGAGGCACUGAAAGGUUGCUAGCUUGUCUGAUCUCAUAUAGAAAUUAGCAUGAGUUUCAUGUUUUGAUUCAAGAUUCCUUGGGCAGCUUUCAAAGCCCUGUGAAGGUAAACCCAUUUGACCCCAGAGGAGGUGGAAGGUGAGGCCACCCUCACCGCAGAAUGUCAGAGUCCAAAAUGGGUGGGCUGUACAGGGCUAGGCCAACAGGAGCUGAGAAGCAACUCCCACUCCAGAGGAGGAAGAUCUAGGCUCAGGAGGUUAUCUGAAUUUGUGAGCCUGCACCAUCACCAGGGGCAACCCUUCUUGCAGCUUGUCAGGAGCCUGUGAGAGCCAGGCUUGGUGACGCAAUCCCUGCAGGCCACUGGUCGGAGGGAGCUUUGUAGAGGUCAGAGUUCAGGGCUUAGAUCUGGGCUAUUCACAGCAGCAGCUAUGAUUCCCUAUCCACCCCAACUCUGACCCUAGCCUUAGAAAAUGUGCACUUGAGGCUGCCCAAUUAGCAGAUACAUAUAAGAGGGCAACCCAGCCCCACCUGCUUUUCUGAAGCAUGUCUUUGACAACAUUCUUUCCCUAAUACAGGUCAGGUUAACUGGUAAAAGUGUUGGCCCCAUUUUUCACACAAGGAAAAGCCAAGGUAGAAAGGGAGCAUCCACCUGCUAUGUCUCCAGAUGGUAUCCCAGUGGAAGAUGAAUGAAUAUCAGAUCCCCCCCACCCCUGGUGCCAACCAGCCUGAUGACCUGCUGCUUGCCCUUUGCCCAAGGGCUGGGCAGUGACUCUAGGAGACAAUCUGCAGGGAGGAAGGAAGGGACUGGGGAUAGCCUAGGGCCUGAGGCCUUUCUAGACAGAGCCAGCCCACAAACCCCUCCCACAUACACACACACACACACACACACACACAUAUACACACACACACACCUACACACACACACAGCUCCUGGUCAUUGGACACUGUAUUCCCUCCCUGAUGGUUCAUUUUCAUGUGAUUUAAUGGUGAGAAGACAGAGCUAUAUGAUUGGCCUUGCUAGCUCUGAGCUGCCAGUGCAUAGAGGAAUGGAGUUGCUCCCUCCUUCAGACUGUCUGGGGAGGCAGGGAUAGGGCUGUGAAGCUCUGGCAGACACAACACCUCAGAAGGUUCUUGGCUCCAGGACUUGUUGGCUGGAUCAGUAGGGUCAGUCCCUCUUUUGGCUGGCCAGGGACCUUCAAAAUCAGGGUAUUUUGAUACCUCCAAAAUCAGGGUAUUUUGAAGGUGCUGAUGAUGGACCCCAAGGUGCAGCUUUGCCCCCAGGCAUGUCAAUGAAUCCCCUGAAAAAAGCUCCAAUACAUUAAAUAUGUACUGUCUGCCAGAUACUUUGCUAGUGGCUCCACAUACAUGAUUUUAUUUAAUCCUUGCAAUAGCCUCUGAAAUAGGUAUUAAUACUAUUAUCUUCAUUUUGCAUAUGAGGAAACUGAGGUACAUAAAGUUUAAAGAUGAGGCCAAGGCCACAGUUACUAGUAGCAUGUCCUGCUUCUUAGGGAAUACAGCUGUAAUUUGCACUGUAAAAACCAAAUGUGAUUUUUAAAGGGGGACCAGAGCAGGUUACCUGCAGUGGUGUGCUGAAGAGUGCUCAAACUGUCAAGAAUCAAUUCUAAAAUGUUCAAGAUUUUUGUAAGCUAGUUGUUAAACACAGCCUUUGUUAAAAAUUAAAUUAUGGCCAGUAGCAGUGGCUCACGCCUGUAAUCCCAGCACUUUGGGAGGCCAAAGCAGGAGGAUCACUUGAGCUCAGAAGUUUGAGACCAGCCUGGGCAACAGAGUGAGACCUCUUUACAAAAAAUACAAAAAUUAGCCAGGCAUGGUGGCACACGCCUGUGGUCCCAGCUACUCAGGAGGCUGAGGUGGGAGGAUUAUUUGAGCUCGGGAGGUCAGGACUAAAGUAAGCUGUGAUUGUGCCACUACACUCCAGCUUAGGUGACAGAGCAAGACUCUGUCUCAAAAAAAACCAAAAAAAUUAAAAAUUAAAAAAAUUAAAUUAUAUAUAUGUAAAAUUAAAUUAUAGUUGUUAAAGUAAUAAAUACUCAAGUUACCACUUCCUAAUUAUUAAUUAUUUUACUACAUUGUAUUUUUUUACUUUUUCUGCCUCCCUUCUCUUACAUUAUACUCUUAUCUAUGCUUUCAAGUUUAUUUACAUCUCUUAUGAAGUACUACAUCAUAUUAUGCCACUUCUCAUCUCUUCUCAACUCCACAUUCAGUGACAUCACAUUGAUAGUUUGAAAUCAGAUACAGUGGAAGUAUUUACACCACAGAAAUUACUAAAUAUAAAUCAGCUCCCACCUAUAGAACAAGUUGCUAAACAUUUACAAUUGAAAUGUGAAACAUUUACAUCUGGAAAACUGAAAGCUUCCAGCACCAGGGUCUGUAGCAGUAGUGGAGGAGGUGAACCCAGGGCUAGCUGAGCUCACCAGCAGAGCCAGCAGGGUUAGUGGGUGCAGGGCACAUGUGGAGUAUCUCUAGGAGGCAGCCAGACCCCAUAGUCUCCAUUUUACAGGGAAGGUGAGUUCUGAGGCCAGGUGAGAAAUGUUUGAUGCCUCAAAAGUGUGUCGGUUCCAGCUGGGUGCAGUGGCUCAUGCCUGUAAUCCCAGCACUUUGGGAGGCCAAGGCGGGCGGAUCACCUGAGGUCGGGAGUUCAAGACCAGCCUGACCAAUAUGGAGAAACCCCAUCUCUGCUAAAAAUACAAAAUUGGCCGGGCAUGGUAGCACAUGCCUGUAAUUCCAGCUACUUGGGAGGCUGAGGCAGGAGAAUGGGUUGAACCUGGGAGGCGGAGUUUGCAGUGAGCCGAGAUCAUGCCAUUGCACUCCAGCCUGGGCGAAGAGCGAAACUCUGUCUGAAAAAAAAAAAAAGUGUGUCGGUUCUAUUUGAGAUGCACUCCACCUAGAUGCACCAUAAAGAUUUCUUACUUUCCAUAUCCCCCAAUAGAGUAUGUUCUCCAGUUACCAAGGGAGAUGGAGGGACAGGAACCUGAGAGGAAGCCUGCCUGGAAGAAGGGGGCUGCUGGUCCUCAGUCCCUUGUGAAUGCCCAGCCUCUAGUGGUGGGAUUAAGAAUGCAGCCUCUGCCCUCCAACCUUAGGUCAAGACGCUCAACCAGAGUCUCCCUCCACAGAGUACCAUCAUGGCAUUUCCCAGCACAGAGCACAGGACAGCUGGGACAAUCCUUGUGGGACAAAUGGACGAUGGACAGAAGCAUCUGCUUCCAACAGGAGGGUCUCAACCAUCCCCUUAGAACCUAUGCCCCCUUUGGAUAGUAUUUUAUGACAUCCCCCAUUCCACUACCAUGAAAUGAAAAUCAUAGCAUAAUCUGCCUACACACAUAAUUGCAAAAAAUAAAUGCAUGCAUAGGUUCACCAAAAGACACGUACAAGAAUGUUCACAGCAUCAUUAUUCAUAAUGGCCAGACACUAGAAACAACACAAAUGGAUAUGGUAUGUCCACAUGAUGAAAACGAACAAACUUCUGCCAGGCACGGUGGGCACAGUGGCUCAUGCCUGUAAUCCCAGCAUUCUGAGAGGCCAAGGCGGGCAGAUCACUUGAGGUUAGGAGUUUGAGACCAGCCUGGUCAACAUAGUGAGACCCCGUCUCUACUAAAAAUUCAAAAAUUAGCGGGGCAUGGUGGCGGAUGCCUGUAGUCCCAGCUACUCGGGAGGCUGUGGCAGGAGAAUCGCUUGAACCUGGGAGGCGGAGGUGGCAGGGAGACGAGAUCGCGCCACUGCACUCCAGCCUGGGAGACAGUGAGACUCUGUCUCAAAAAAAAAAAGAAAAUGAACAAACUUCCAAUUCACACAACAACAUGGAUGAAUCUCACAAAUACGAUUUUGGCUGAAAGAAGUCAGACAUGAAAAAAGCAUGCAUGUAUGUUUCCAUUAUAUCAAGUUCAAAGGUAGGCAAAAUUAAUUUAAGGUGUUAGAAGUAAGGAGAGUAGUUACCUAGAGGAGUUGUGACUGGGUGGCACCAUGAGUUGGACUUCCAGGGUAUUGAGAGUGUUCUGGUUAUGAAGGUGUGUUCAUUUUGCAAAAAUUCAUAGAGGUGUACUCAUAAGAUUUGUCCACUUUUUUGAAGUAUGUAGUUAUUCAAUAAAAAGUUUACUUAAAAAAAAACAAUCAAUCAAUACAAUGCCCUAACUGUAAUAUAAAAAAGAAAAGGCCGCUUGCACCUAGAGUCAAUUCAUAGCAAUUACAAAUGCAGACA